rnacentral:rRNA from 1 species
UUAAAAAAUAAAUUAAAUUUAUAAAUUUAAAAAAACUUACUUUUAAAUUUUAAUAAAUUUAAAAUUAAAUAUUAAAAAUCAAAAAUAAAAAUUAUUAUAAUCCAUUAAACAUAAUAUAUAAACUAUAUUUUGAUUUAACUAAAAAUUUUUAAAAAAAACAUUUAUAAAUUUAAGUAAAAAUUAAGAUAACAAUAUAUAAACAAAAUAUUAUUAACAAAAAAGUGCAUUAUCAAUUUAAUUAACAGAUUCCUCUAAUAAAUUAAUACCGCCAAAUAAUUUAAAUUUAAUAUUUAUAUAUAUUUAAUAUCUUAAAUAUAUUAAAUUUAAUUAAUAGGGUAUCUAAUCCCAUUCAAAUAAAUCAAUUUAAAAGAAUUAAUAAAAAAAGAAUUAAAUAAUUAAAUUUUAAUUUAAAUUAAAAAAAAAUAAAAAAAAAAUUACAAAAUACUAAAUUAUAAAAUUAAAUAAUUUUAAAUAUUGUAUAACC